AGGGAGGCAGCAGUGGGGAAUAUUGGACAAUGGGGGAAACCCUGAUCCAGCGACGCCGCGUGAGUGAAGAAGUAUUUCGGUAUGUAAAGCUCUAUCAGCAAGAAAGAAAAUGACGGUACUUGACUAAGAAGCCCCGGCUAACUACGUGCCAGCAGCCGCGGUAAUACGUAGGGGGCAAGCGUUAUCCGGAUUUACUGGGUGUAAAGGGAGCGUAGACGGCGAUGCAAGUCUGAAGUGAAAGCCCGGGGCUCAACCCCGGAACUGCUUUGGAAACUGUAUAGCUAGAGUGCAGGAGAGGUAUGUGGAAUUCCUAGUGUAGCGGUGAAAUGCGUAGAUAUUAGGAGGAACACCAGUGGCGAAGGCGACAUACUGGACUGUAACUGACGUUGAGGCUCGAAGGCGUGGGGAGCAAACAGGAUUAGAUACCCUGGUA
rnacentral:rRNA from 1 species